rnacentral:rRNA from 1 species
CCCUUAGAUGUUCUGGGCCGCACGCGCGCUACACUGACCAGUGCAACAAGCAUCCGUCCUUGGCCGACAGGCCCGGGCAAUCUUUGAACGCUGGUCGUGAUGGGGAUAGACUUUUGCAAUUUUUGGUCUUCAACGAGGAAUUCCUAGUAAACGCAAGUCAUCAACUUGCAUUGAUUGCGUCCCUGCCCUUUGUACACACCGCCCGUCGCACCUACCGAUUGAAUGGUCCGGUGAAGCCUCCGGAUUGGCGCGCACCUCGGUGCCGCCGAGAAGUUGGCUAAACCUUACCAUUUAGAGGAAGGUGAAGUCGUAACA